AUGAAGGAAAUUUUCAUAUCACAUUCCUGCGUUCUUCAUUAUGCUCUCGCCGUGCUCACAUCCAGUAUACCGAAUCUUGAAACUCUUACUAUGUAUUCGUAUUACGAGAUGGUCAGUACACCAACGCUAGCAAGCAAAUUCCUCCACCUCAAGUAUUUGAAUAUUUCUGUAUUUGGAUGGAAGUUUGCCUCGACACCUCGGUAUGCGGACUAUGAUCUUUUCUCGCUGGUUUCUUGUCUCGACGCAUCUCCUUGCUUGGAGACUUUCAACCUGGAUGCACCAAUGAGACGCCGGGAGCAUGACUCAAUUUCUGAAGACCCCUCCUCACAAUUGGUGCGGAUUCCAGGACAAUGCUAUGCCAAUCUUAGGCAUGUGAAGAUCACUAAAUUCCGCUCCACAAAGCUAUUGGUUAAGCUCACAUGUCAUAUUCUUGACAGCACACCGUCGCUCGAGUGCCUCACACUGGACAUAACUGAUGGUGGGCCGACUUGUUCCGAGCUUGACAGAUGCUUUGUGGGCAAACAAACUUUUAUGGAAGCCCCUAAAGCGCUUGCGGCUAUCCAGACUUACAUCGAGGGAAAAGUUCCCUCCACGGCUAAGUUGAAUGUCGUGGAGCCUUGCAGCCGAUGUCCUGCCCUUUGA
rnacentral:rRNA from 1 species